AGAGUUUGAUCCUGGCUCAGGACGAACGCUGGCGGCGUGCCUAACACAUGCAAGUCGAGCGAGAUCCAUCCAGUGGCAACACUGGUGAAGAUCUAGCGGCGAACGGGUGAGUAACACGUGAGAAACCUGCCCCGGAGACCGGGAUAACCCGAGGAAACUCGGGCUAAUACCGGAUACCCCCACCGAACCGCAUGAUUUGGUGAGGAAAUGCUCCGACGCUCCGGGAGGGUCUCGCGGCCUAUCAGCUAGUUGGUGAGGUAACGGCUCACCAAGGCUAAGACGGGUAGCUGGUCUGAGAGGACGAUCAGCCACACUGGGACUGAGACACGGCCCAGACUCCUACGGGAGGCAGCAGUGGGGAAUCUUGCGCAAUGGGCGAAAGCCUGACGCAGCAACGCCGCGUGGGGGAUGAAGGCUCUCGGGUUGUAAACCCCUUUCAGGAGGGACGAAAAUGACGGUACCUCCAGAAGAGCC
rnacentral:rRNA from 1 species